UUAUCCUCAUCCACUAUACGUAUGUCGCUGCCCUCUUUCAUAAAUUCGUAAAUUCAUAGUGUUCACGAGAAAUUUCAUCACCAUUCUCAAAUUCAAACUAUUUCCAUACCCAAUCUGUUGUCGCUCGGAUCUUCUAACUUCCUGGAAUGCCGGUGAACUUGACGGCUAGCGCGAUCUCGGCGAUCAACGCCGGCGAUGUGAACUCAAAGCCAGUGGUUCAGGUAUUGGACAUCAAGCUAAUCGGCACCACACAAGAACGGUACCGACUCACGCUCUCCGACUCUGAGUCGACUCAGCAGGCUAUGCUGGCUACUCAGCUCAAUGACCGAGUCAAAACUGGCUGUGUUCGGAAAACAUCCGUCAUUCAGUUGAUUGAAUACAUCUGUAGCACUGUUCAAAAUCGCAAAAUCAUUGUUGUCCUCAACAUGGAAACUAUUAUACCAGAAUGUGAAAUAAUUGGGAACCCAAAAGUGAUUGUAGAAUCUAAUUUAGGAACUCAGAAAACUAUAUCUAGUGGAGCUUCUGGGUCUGCAAUCUUGAGUAACAAUGGUAACUUGAGUGCUCAAAGAUCUGGCCAAGCAAGCUUUGCUAACAGUAAAAAGUUGAGUGCCCAAAAUUUAGGUAAUAGCAUGCAGAACUAUCCACCUGCAAUUCAACCUGCAUAUCAACCUCCUCCAAAUUACAAAAGCCAUGGGGCAAUCAUGAAGAAUGAAGCACCCGCCCGCAUUAUUCCAAUUGCAGCAUUGAAUCCCUAUCAGGGUCGGUGGGCUAUUAAGGCUAGAGUGACUGCAAAGGGGGGUCUACGUCGCUAUAAUAAUUCUAGAGGAGAUGGCAAGGUCUUCUCCUUUGAUCUCCUUGACUCUGAUGGUGGUGAAAUACGUGCCACUUGUUUUAAUGCUGUAGUUGAUCGCUUUUAUGACAAAAUUGAAGCUGGAAAAGUGUACAUGAUAUCAAAAGGCAGCUUGAAACUCGCUCAGAAGAACUUCAACCAUCUGAAGAAUGAAUGGGAAAUAUUUUUGGAGACAACUUCUACAGUAGAUCUCUGUCCAGAUGAAGAUGCCUCUAUACCAAGACAACAGUUCUCAUUUAGACCUAUUAGUGAAAUUGAAAGUUCAGAAAACAAUUCAAUCAUAGAUGUUAUUGGAAUUGUGACAGCAGUCAAUCCUUCUGUUCCUAUCCUGAGAAAGAAUGGAAUGGAAACUCAAAGAAGAAUCUUGAAUUUAAAGGAUCAGUCUGGGAGAAGUGUUGAGCUGACACUAUGGGGAGAUUUCUGUAACAGGGAAGGUCAAAACCUGCAAGAACUGGCAGAAGCUGGUUUUUCCCCUGUUUUAGCUGUUAAAGCUGCAAAAGUUAGUGACUUCACUGGGAAAUCCAUUGGAACCAUAUCUUCCACGCAAAUGUUCAUAAAUCCAGAAUCUGCUGAGGUUCAGACUCUGAGAGAGUGGUUUGAUCAGGGGGGAAAAGACACUGCUUCUCAAUCUAUAUCUAGGGACAACAUGCCUGUAGGAUCAAAAAAUGAGAUACGUAAGACUGUCUCUCAGAUCAAGGAUGAAGGGCUUGGUAGGUCAGAUAAACCAGACUGGGUUACAGUUAAGGCAACCAUAACAUUCAUCAAAACUGACACUUUCUGUUAUACUGCUUGCCCUUUGAUGAUUGGAGAUAGACAAUGUAAUAAGAAGAUUACCAGGUCAGAAAACUCCAGAUGGCAAUGUGAUAGGUGCAAUCAAGCAUUUGAGGAAUGUGAUUACAGAUACCUUCUUCAAGCUCAAAUUCAAGAUCAUACUGGGUUGACAUGGGUGACAACUUUCCAGGAAUCUGGCGAAGAGAUUUUAGGCUGUCCUGCGAAGGAGCUGUACAUGAUGAAAUAUGAAGAAGCUGAUGAUACCAGAUUUUCUGAAAUUAUUAGAAACUGUCUCUUCACACAAUUUCUGUUCAGGCUAAAAAUCAAAGAGGAAUUUUAUGGUGAUGAGCAGAGGGUGAAAAUUACAGUUGUCAAGGCAGAGAAAGUGAACCAUUCUGCGGAAAGCAGAUAUCUCAUUGAUUUUAUUUCAAAAUUCCGUCUUUCUUGAACGAAGGAAGCCAGAUAAUAGAUUCUUAUUGCAUCCAUUUUUAGGCCAGCCAUUGGCCCUCUUUUCAGAGAGAUUUAGGCAGAAAGUCCUUGUUUUAGUCAGGUGAUUGUUCUUUUCAUUGCCAUAGAAAAGUAUAUUACUUGCAUUCUUGCUUAGAAAUCCCACUUACUGGUCUAAUGUAGUUUUAGUAUCCACUUCAUUUGGAAGGAUGACGGUCUCACCCCUUCCUGUGAGUUGAGUUUGCAGUACUACUCUCAUUAGCUUCAUCAACAAGGACAAUCAUUUUAUUGAUUUGGUAAAUCAUCUCCAUACCCUCCACCCCCUAAAUUCAUCCUCUCCACAUCCAACAGCGGUGUUCCUCACUUUUGCCGCCUUGUGAGUUUUCGUGCGAGAGCAGCAAAUGAUAGUGUUACGUGAUUCCUUUCAUAGGUGCGUUUCUUCACGCAAAAAAAAAAGAAGCAGCUAAAAUAAAGGUAUCACAUCGCUGGACUAACAGUUGAUUGGUUAAACAUUUUAUUGAUCUUGACUGGAAACAUGAGAUAGAUACAAGAAGAGAGUAGAGAUAUAUGAGAAUUAUGCUUCUUAAGUCCGCUUGACAGGGUCAAAAUUGGAAACACCAAUUAUUGCGCCAAGAAUUGCAGCAAG